CCCUUAGAUGUUCUGGGCCGCACGCGUGCUACACUGAGUGGAUCAGCGGGUCAGGUUGCGCGAAAGUGUUUCCUAAUCUUGAAAUCCGCUCGUGAUGGGGAUUGACGGUUGCAAUUUUCCGUCAUGAACGAGGAAUACCUUGUAAGCGCGGGUCAUCAUCCCGCGCUGAAUACGUCCCUGCCCUUUGUACACACCGCCCGUCGCUCCUACCGAUUGAGUGGUCCGGUGAGGCUUUGGGAUCUGAGCGGAAAGAGCGUUUCGCUGUUUCUGCUCGGAAAACUUAGUCGAACCUUAUCAUUUAGAGGAAGGAGAAGUCGUAACA
rnacentral:rRNA from 1 species